rnacentral:rRNA from 1 species
UACGAAGGGGGCUAGCGUUGCUCGGAAUCACUGGGCGUAAAGGGCUCGUAGGCGGCCAACUAAGUCAGACGUGAAAUCCCUCGGCUUAACCGGGGAACUGCGUCUGAUACUGGAUGGCUUGAGGUUGGGAGAGGGAUGCGGAAUUCCAGGUGUAGCGGUGAAAUGCGUAGAUAUCUGGAGGAACACCGGUGGCGAAGGCGGCAUCCUGGACCAAUUCUGACGCUGAGGAGCGAAAGCCAGGGGAGCAAACGGG